AGCGAACGCUGGCGGCAGGCUUAACACAUGCAAGUCGAGCGGGCACUCUCGGGUGUCAGCGGCGGACGGGUGGGUAACGCCUGGGAACGUGCCCUCUGGUUCGGAAUAACUCAGGGAAACUUGAGCUAAUACCGGAUACGCCCUUUUGGGGAAAGGCUUUCUGCCGGAGGAUCGGCCAGCGUCUGAUUAGCUUGCUGGUGCGGUAACGGCUCUCCACGGCGACGAUGAGUAGCCGACCUGAGAGGGUGAUCCGCGACACUGGGACUGAGACACGGUCCAGACUCCUAGGGGAGGCAGCAGGCGGGAAUCUCCCGCAACGGGCGAAGGGGUGACGGAGCAACGCCGGGUGAGUGAUGAAGGCCUUCGGAUCGUAAAACUCUGUUAUGAGGGAGGAACAUAAGUGUAUGUAACCGGGCACAUCUUGACGGUACCUGAUGAGAAAGCCCCGGCUAACUACGUG
rnacentral:rRNA from 1 species